CAGAGGUGGCAAGCGUUGUUCGGAAUUACUGGGCGUAAAGGGCGCGUAGGCGGCCGCCUAAGUCAGACGUGAAAUCCCCAAGCUUAACUUGGGAACGUGCGUCUGAUACUGGGUGGCUUGAGUUCGGGAGGAGGAAUGUGGAAUUCCAGGUGUAGCGGUGAAAUGCGUAGAUAUCUGGAGGAACACCGGUGGCGAAGGCGGCAUUCUGGACCGAAACUGACGCUGAGGCGCGAAAGCCAGGGGAGCAAACGGGAUUAGAUACCCCGGUAGUCCUGGCCCUAAACGAUGAGUGCUUGGUGUGGUGGGUAUCGAUCCCUGCCGUGCCGAAGCUAACGCAUUAAGCACUCCGCCUGGGGAGUACGGUCGCAAGGCUG
rnacentral:rRNA from 1 species